rnacentral:rRNA from 1 species
AACGAACGCUGGCGGCAUGCCUAACACAUGCAAGUCGAACGAGACCUUCGGGCUUAGUGGCGCACGGGUGCGUAACGCGUGGGAACCUGCCCUUAGGUUCGGAAUAACUCCCCGAAAGGGGUGCUAAUACCGGAUAAUGUCUUCGGACCAAAGAUUUAUCGCCUUUGGAUGGUCCCCCGUUGGAUUAGCUAGUUGUGAGGGGAAAAGCCUAUCAAGGCGACGAUCCACAGCUGGUUUGAGAGGAUGAUCAGCCAAACUGGGGCUGGGACACGGCCCAGACUCCUACGGGAGGCAGCAGUGGGGAAUAUUGGAAAAUGGGCGAAAGCCUGAUCCAGCAAGGCCGCGUGAGUGAUGAAGGCCAUAGGGUUGUAAAGCUCUUUUACCCGGGAUGAUAAUGACAGUACCGGGAGAAUAAGCUCGGGCUAACUCCGGG